UGAGGAAUUUUGCGCAAUGGGGGAAGCCCUGACGCAGCAACGCCGCGUGGGCGAUGAAGGCCUUCGGGUCGUAAAGCCCUGUCGGGCGGGAAGAACGUCCCUUCGGGGAGUGACGGUACCGCCAGAGGAAGCACCGGCUAACUCCGUGCCAGCAGCCGCGGUAAUACGGAGGGUGCAAGCGUUAUUCGGACUUACUGGGCGUAAAGGGCGUGCAGGCGGGAGAGCAAGUCUGAGGUGAAAGCCCGGGGCUUAACCCCGGAAGGGCAUUGGAAACUGCUUGUCUUGAGUGCGGGAGAGGAAGGGAGAAUUCCCGGUGUAGAGGUGAAAUUCGUAGAGAUCGGGAGGAACAUCAGUGGCGAAGGCGCCCUUCUGGACAGCAACUGACGCUGAGACGCGAAAGCGUGGGGAGCAAACA
rnacentral:rRNA from 1 species